rnacentral:lncRNA from 1 species
AGUUUCACUAAAACUAGAACUCUACUAUUAAUGAAGAAUUAAUUAUUAAUUAAUUCAAUUUGAUUGAGUAAAGAGCUUUAGAUCAAGUCUAAUUGAAUUAGAUUCAGUUGGACUCAGAUUGGGUUUGGUAUGAUCAAUCCUGAUUACAAAAGAAAUUUGAUCCUGAUUCGAUCAAGAUUUGCAAUCAGCCAAUUCCUAAUUGG